rnacentral:rRNA from 1 species
UACGUAGGGUGCAAGCGUUGUCCGGAAUUAUUGGGCGUAAAGAGCUUGUAGGCGGUUUGUCGCGUCUGCCGUGAAAGUCCGGGGCUCAACUCCGGAUCUGCGGUGGGUACGGGCAGACUAGAGUGAUGUAGGGGAGACUGGAAUUCCUGGUGUAGCGGUGAAAUGCGCAGAUAUCAGGAGGAACACCGGUGGCGAAAGCGGCUCACUGGACCAUUACUGACGCUGAGGCACGAAAGCUAGGGGAGCAAACAGG